ACCCGCACAAGCGGUGGAUGAUGUGGUUAAUUCGAUGCAACGCGAAAAACCUUACCCACCUUUGACAUGGCAGGAAUCCUAAAGAGAUUUGGGAGUGCUCGAAAGAGAACCUGCACACAGGUGCUGCAUGGCUGUCGUCAGCUCGUGUCGUGAGAUGUUGGGUUAAGUCCCGCAACGAGCGCAACCCUUGCCAUUAGUUGCUACGAAAGGGCACUCUAAUGGGACUGCCGGUGACAAACCGGAGGAAGGUGGGGAUGACGUCAAGUCCUCAUGGCCCUUAUAGGUGGGGCUACACACGUCAUACAAUGGCCGGUACAGAGGGUAGCCAACCCGCGAGGGGGAGCCAAUCCCACAAAGCCGGUCGUAGUCCGGAUCGCAGUCUGCAACUCGACUGCGUGAAGUCGGAAUCGCUAGUAAUCGCGGAUCAGCAUGUCGCGGUGAAUACGUUCCCGGGUCUU
rnacentral:rRNA from 1 species